rnacentral:rRNA from 1 species
AGUGAACGCUGGCGGUAGGCCUAACACAUGCAAGUCGAACGGCAGCACAGUAAGAGCUUGCUCUUACGGGUGGCGAGUGGCGGACGGGUGAGGAAUACAUCGGAAUCUACUUUUUCGUGGGGGAUAACGUAGGGAAACUUACGCUAAUACCGCAUACGACCUACGGGUGAAAGCAGGGGAUCUUCGGACCUUGCGCGAUUGAAUGAGCCGAUGUCGGAUUAGCUAGUUGGCGGGGUAAAGGCCCACCAAGGCGACGAUCCGUAGCUGGUCUGAGAGGAUGCUCGGCCACACUGGAACGGAGACACGGUCCAGACGCCUACGGGAGGCAGCAGUAGGGAAGCGUCCGCAAUGGGCGAAAGCCUGACGGAGCAACGCCGCGUGAGUGAUGAAGGUCUUCGGAGCGUAAAACGCUGUUAUUAGGGAAGAACAAAUGUGUAAGUAACUAUGCACGUCUUGACGGUACCUAAUCAGAAAGCCACGGCUAACUACGUG